rnacentral:rRNA from 1 species
GAUGAACGCUGGCGGCGUGCCUAAUACAUGCAAGUCGAGCGAACGGACGAGAAGCUUGCUUUUCUGAUGUUAGCGGCGGACGGGUGAGUAACACGUGGAUAACCUACCUAUAAGACUGGGAUAACUUCGGGAAACCGGAGCUAAUACCGGAUAAUAUUUUGAACCGCAUGGUUCAAAAGUGAAAGACGGUCUUGCUGUCACUUAUAGAUGGAUCCGCGCUGCAUUAGCUAGUUGGUAAGGUAACGGCUUACCAAGGCAACGAUGCAUAGCCGACCUGAGAGGGUGAUAGGCCACACUGCGACUUAGACACGGUCCAGACUCCUACGGGAGGCAGCAGUAGGGAAUCUUCCGCAAUGGGCCAAAGCCUGACGAAGCAACGCCGCGUGAAUGAUGAAGGUCUUCGGAUCGUAAAACUCUGUUAUUAGGGAAGAACAUAUGUGUAAGUAACUGUGCACAUCUUGACGGUACCUCCUCAGAAAGCCACGGCUAACUCCGUG